rnacentral:lncRNA from 1 species
UCUAGGAAGUGAGGAGUGUCUCUGCCCGGCCGCCCAUCGUCUGAGAUGUGGGGAGCGCCUCUGCCCCGCCGCCCCCUCUGGGACGUGAGGAGCGCCUCUGCCCGGCCGAGACCCCGUCUGGGAGGUGAGGAGCGUCUCUGCCCGGCCGCCCCAUCUGAGAAGUGAGGAGACCCUCUGCCUGGCAACCACCCCGUCUGAGAAGUGAGGAGCCCC